UACGGGGGGAGCAAGCGUUGUUCGGAUUUACUGGGCGUAAAGGGCGCGUAGGCGGCCACCGCAAGUCGGUUGUGAAAUCUCUGGGCUUAACCCAGAAAGGUCAACCGAUACUGCGGGGCUAGAGUGCAGAAGGGGCAACUGGAAUUCCCGGUGUAGUGGUGAAAUGCGUAGAUAUCGGGAGGAACACCAGUGGCGAAGGCGACUUCCUGGCCUGUUCUUGACGCUGAGGCGCGAAAGCUAGGGGAGCAAACGGG
rnacentral:rRNA from 1 species